AGAGUUUGAUCAUGGCUCAGAACGAACGUUGGCGGCGUGGAUUAGGCAUGCAAGUCGAACGAAGACGGGGUAGCAAUAUCCCGGACUGAGUGGCGAAAGGGGCAGUAAGGCGUGGGUAACCUACCUCUGGGACGGGGAUAGCCUUCCUAACGGGAGGGUAAUACCCGGCGACGUAACGGGGUGGCAUCACUCUGUUACCAAAUGAAUUUCGCCCGGAGAGGGGCUCACGUGCUAUUAGCUUGUUGGCGGGGUAACGGCCCACCAAGGCUAAGAUGGCUAGCCGGUGUGAGAGCACGACCGGCGCCACUGGCACUGAGACACUGGCCAGACUCCUACGGGAGGCUGCAGUCGAGGAUCUUCGGCAAUGGGCGCAAGCCUGACCGAGCGACGCCGCGUGCGCGAUGAAGGCCUUCGGGUUGUAAAGCGCUGUCGAGGGGGAGGAAGCCGCAAGGUUGACCUAUCCCUGGAGGAAGGACGGGCUAAGUUCGUGCCAGCAGCCGCGGUAAGACGAACCGUCCUAACGUUGUUCGGAAUCACUGGGCUUAAAGGGCGCGUAGGCGGGCUCUCAAGUCCGGGGUGAAAUCUUUCGGCUCAACCGGAAAAUAGCCUUGGAUACUGAGAGUCUCGAGGGAGGUAGGGGCGGGUGGAACUUCCGGUGGAGCGGUGAAAUGCGUUGAUAUCGGAAGGAACGCCGGUGGCGAAAGCGACCCGCUGGACCUCUUCUGACGCUGAGGCGCGAAAGCCAGGGGAGCAAACGGGAUUAGAUACCCCAGUAGUCC
rnacentral:rRNA from 1 species